CCGACGGUGAGGGAUGAGGCCAGGGGAGCGACCCGGAUUAGAUACCCGGGUAGUCCUGGCUGGUAAACGAUGCGGACUAGGUUUCGGGCAAAGCUAAGGGGCUUGUCCGGUGCCGCAGGGGAAGCCCGUUAAGUCCGCCGCCUGGGGGAGUACGGCCCCCAAGGCUGAAAACUUAAAAGGAAUGGCCGGGGGGAGCACUCCAACGGGUGGAAGCCUCCGGUUUAAUAGGAUUCAACGCUGGGAAGCUUACCGGGGAAGACAGCGGGAUGAAGGUCGGGCUGAAGACUCUACCAGACUAGCUGAGAGGUGGUGCAUGGCCGCCGUCAGUUCGUACUGUGAAGCAUCCUGUUAAGUCAGGCAACGAGCGAGACCCGCGCCCCUAGUUGCCAGCGGUUCCCUUCGGGGAAGCCGGGCACACUAGGGGGACUGCCGGCGCUAAGCCGGAGGAAGGUGCGGGCAACGGCAGGUCCGUAUGCCCCGAAUCCCCCGGGCUACACGCGGGCUACAAUGGCCGGGACAAUGGGUACCGACCCCGAAAGGGGUAGGUAAUCCCCUAAACCCGGUCGUACCUGGGAUCGAGGACUGCAACUCGCCCUCGUGAACCUGGAAUCCGUAGUAAUCGCGCGUCAAAAUCGCGCGGUGAAUACGUCCCUGCUCCUUGCACUCACCGCCCGU
rnacentral:rRNA from 1 species